rnacentral:rRNA from 1 species
GGUGGAGCCAUCCUUGGGAUACCACCCUUGUAGUACUGAGAUUCUAACCAGAUACCUUGAAUCAGGUAUUGGGACACUGUCAGGUGGGCAGUUUGACUGGGGCGGUCGCCUCCCAAAGAGUAACGGAGGCGCUCAAAGGUUCUCUCAGCACGGUCGGAAAUCGUGCGUAGAGUGUAAAGGCAGAAGAGAGCUUGAUUGCAAGACAUACAGGUCGAGCAAGGACGAAAGUCGGACUUAGUGAUCCGGUGGUUCCGCAUGGAAGGGCCAUCGCUCAACGGAUAAAAGCUACCCUGGGGAUAACAGGCUUAUCUCCCCCAAGAGUCCACAUCGACGGGGAGGUUUGGCACCUCGAUGUCGGCUCAUCACAUCCUGGGGCUGUAGUAGGUCCCAAGGGUUGGGCUGUUCGCCCAUUAAAGUGGUACGCGAGCUGGGUUCAGAACGUCGUGAGACAGUUCGGUCCCUAUCCGUCGCAGGCGUAGGAAAUUUGAGGAGACCUGUCCUUAGUACGAGAGGACCGGGAUGGACGUACCUCUGGUGUACCAGUUGUUCUGCCAAGGGCAUGGCUGGGUAGCUAUGUACGGAAUGGAUAAGCGCUGAAAGCAUCUAAGCGCGAAGCCAACUUCAAGAUAAGAUUUCCCACC